ACCGCGAUAGGUCAGGUGGCGGAGCAUCUGCCCGGUAUGCGGAGGCGCCGGUUCGAUUCCAGCUCGCGGAG
rnacentral:tRNA from 1 species